GGGCAGGUUGAGCAUCAUUUUUCUACUGAGACUGAGGUCUUUUCUAUCUGUGUGUCUCUUUAUUCUGGUUUGUGAAGAAAACUUGGAAGAGUAAACACCGAGACAGACGUCCAUGGCCCAGGGUCCAGAGGAAAGCCACUGAGGACCAACAGCUCGCUAGUGGGUGGAGGGACCACUCAAGGACCCUGCUCCUUUCUCUUCUAGCCAGUGUAAGGCGCGGGCCGCUGCAGCCUCCUUGGCAUCUGCUCAUGACUUCAUGCCUGUCUUCAGAGCAGCCGGCCUCUGAAGACAGCGGAUUCUCUUCCAUGCUGGCUCACAGGGUGAUCCUGCCACGGUAUCUGCUGGCCCGGCACCAUGGAAAUCCGACAAGCCCGCCAACAGAUGGGCUUCUCUCUCCUUUCCUUUAUUAGGGUCAGAAAGAGGCCCGGAGGAGGAGGAGGAGGAGGAGGAGGAGGAGGAGGCCGCAAGCGAAGACGCGGUGAUGUACAGAGAGGGCUCGUGAAACUCACGCUUUGGGGAGAACAAUACAGCGUGGGUGUCAUUUUCAGGUGUGGUAGGGUGACAACUUAAAUCGUCCUGUUUCCCUGCUCCGUUUGGGCUCCGUUUCCUCUCUUGCAUAAUGCACACGCCAGGUUCUUUGUGCUGUCCUUAGCAGAGAGCCCUGGAUAUCUCAGCCCGGAGAGCCGUGGGGCUCUCUAAUUUCUAAGUCAACUAGAGAUUUCACUGCGUAGAUGCAUUUUUAUAUCUUAUAUUUUUAUUGCUACACCAAUACAUCGAUGUUAAUGGCGAAUUUUAUCUUACUUUUUGAAACAGAGCCUUCCUUGCUGAGUAGCCCAGGCUGGGCCGGAACUCACUCUAUAGCUCAGGCUGGCCUCAAGCUUGUGGCUUUCCUGCUUCAGGCUCCUGAAUGUCAGGAUUACAAGAAUUUGUCACUAGACCUUUUGAUACCGUUUAUAAUCCACUGCUUUCCAAAUACACUUUCACCAUCUUUGGGUUAACACUAGAUAAUUUUGUUUAAUGGUAAACUAUAAUAAGAGUAUUUCUCAGGGAGAAGCCAUGGUUUUGGUUCCAAACUCAGAAUAAACCAGACACUGAAGAGAAUUCUGGAAUGGACUCCGUUUAAAAAAAUAGACCAAUAUGCAAAACUAGCAUGCCAAACUAACUGACCAACAAACAUGCAAUGAAUAGUAAAGAUUUGGGGUAGAAAUGUGGAUUCUUGUAGUGAUUGGACAAUGAUGACUGAAGCUGCAGUACUGACGUCACCUAAUGUCUUCACCGCUGUGCCCUCAUCUGUGAAACUGGGGCAUAAUAGCAAUGAUGGCCAAGGGGCUGGGGAGAUGCCCAGGAGGAAAAAUGCUUGCCUGGCAAGCACGAAGAUCUACGUUUGAGUCUCAGCACACAUGGCAAAAGCCUUUGCCUGUAAUUCCAGUGCCAGCCAGGCAGAGAGAACAGAAUACCUGGGACCUAUGCUAAGUGGUGAGCCCAGGUACCAAAUGAGAGGCCUGAUUCAAAAAAUAAGAUGGAGCAAAA